ACGGAAGGCAGCAGUGGGGAAUAUUGGGCAAUGGGGGAAACCCUGACCCAGCAACGCCGCGUGAGGGGAGAAGGUUUUCGGAUCGUAAACCUCUGUCCUUGGUGAAGAGGAAGAGACGGUAGCCAAGGAGGAAGCCCCGGCUAACUACGUGCCAGCAGCCGCGGUAAUACGUAGGGGGCAAGCGUUGUCCGGAAUGAUUGGGCGUAAAGGGCGCGUAGGUGGCCCGGUAAGUCUGAAGUGAAACUCUUGCUUUUAAGGUGGGAACUGCUUUGGAUACUGUCGGGCUUGAGUGCAGGAGAGGUAAGUGGAAUUCCCAGUGUAGCGGUGAAAUGCGUAGAGAUUGGGAGGAACACCAGUGGCGAAGGCGACUUACUGGACUGUAACUGACACUGAGGCGCGAAAGUGUGGGGAGCAAACAGGAUUAGAUACCCUGGUA
rnacentral:rRNA from 1 species